GGUUGCUUUUUUUUUUUUAGACUUUACUAUAAAAAAUACCACACAUACAUAAGAGUAGAGAGAGAGAUGAAAUGAAUCCCAUGUUCCCAUCAAAUGGCUCCAUCUGCUGCCAACAUACUGUUUCAUCUGUAGUUUCUCACUCUCCUUUAUCACCCAUAUUCUUGAGGCAAGUUGUUGACAUCGUGUAAUUUUAGCCAUGAAUAUGUGAAUACUUACCUCUAAAAGGAUGCUUUAAAAAAUUAUCACAGUAUAUUGUACUUAAAGGAUGCAGUAAUUCCUAAGUAAGAAGGAAUAUCUGGCAUUCAAAUUUUCCUGAUUAUCUCAUAAAUACUUUUUUUUGUCUCUUGCUGUUAUUAAAGUAACAGAAAUCUUUUGUCCCUUUGAAUUUUCCCAUCCUGGGUUUUACCAAUUACGUUCUGAGGCAUGAUUUAGUAUAUUCCUCUAUCCCUGUAUUUCAUGGAAACUGGUAGGCGCCCCUAGAAUCUUGAUCAUAUAUCAGUUUGUUUGUUUGGCAAGAAUACUAUACGUGAGGGGCGCUUGGGUGGCUCAGUCGGUGGAGCGUCCGACUUCGGCUCAGGUCAUGAUCUCGCAGUCUGUGAGUUCGAGCCCCGCAUAGGGCUCUGUGCUGAUGGCUCGGAGCCCGGAGCCUGCUUCCGAUUCUGUCUCCCUCUCUCCCUGCCCCUCCCCCACUCACAGUCUGUCUGUCUGUCUCUC